AUAAAAAGAUGGUGUACCCUC
rnacentral:siRNA from 1 species